rnacentral:rRNA from 1 species
GAACUUAAGAGUUUGAUCCUGGCUCAGAUUGAACGCUGGCGGCAUGCUUUACACAUGCAAGUCGAACGGC